rnacentral:rRNA from 1 species
AAUAAAGAAAUCUUUGGUUGGGGCAACCACGAAGAAAAACAAACCUUCGUUUUUUAAAAAAAUAUACAAAUUUAAAAUUUUUAAAAAAUGAUCCAAAAAAUUUUGAACAAAGAAAAAAGUUACCGCAGGGAUAACAGCGUUAUUUUCUUUGAGAGCUCUUAUUGACAAGAAAGUUUGCGACCUCGAUGUUGGACCAGGGUAUCCUAGAGAUGCAAAAGUCUCUAAAGGUAGGUCUGUUCGACCUUUAAAACCCUACGCGAUCUGAGUUCAGACCGACGCAAGUCAGGUCAGUUUCUAUCUA